UUUAGAGCGAGAGAAACACUGAUGUAAUAGAAACAUCUAUGGGGUUGCCUUCCAUACGCGCCCUUCUGGGGGUAAUCAACCCCCAAGCUCUGUGCCCUCCCAUUCAGCAACCUUUUGGUGUAUGGGAGGCUGCUCCAACCAGCUGAGCUACUCCAGCCACUGCAAUGAGUACCAUUCUCAAAGAAAAGGUACUGUUCAAAACAAAAAUACCCUGGUAGAACCUACGAAGAUACCAAAAGGUGAAAUCGAAGAAUUGAGAGAAUACAGAGAGGAAAAACAAACAUGGCAGAUAGAGACCGCUGGGAGAUAGGGCGCGGAAGGCUCCAGGCCGCCGGCUGCUUCCGGGCCACCGUACUCUUCCGCUCCCAGAGGGCCCUGCGGCGGAAAUGGUCAUUCUCCGAGGCAAGCAGCCCACGCCGCGCACCGGUGGGAUCCUCGCCAUGGCGAUGGGGGGCGGAGGUGGCGGCGGCGUCCCGGAGCAGGAGGACUCGGUGCUGUUCCGGCGCGGCGCCGGCCAGAGUGAUGAUUCUGACAUUUGGGAUGAUACAGCACUGAUAAAAGCAUACGAUAAAGCUGUGGCUUCAUUUAAGCACGCUCUAAAGAAUGGUGACAUUUCUGAAGCUUCAAAUAAACCAAAAGGCACCCCUAAAAGAAAACCUGCUAAGAAGAAUAAAAGCCAAAAAAAGAACACCACAACUCCCUUGAAGCAGUGGAAAGUUGGUGACAAAUGUUCAGCCAUUUGGUCAGAAGAUGGCUGCAUUUACCCAGCUACCAUUGCUUCAGUUGAUUUUAAGAGAGAAACCUGUGUUGUGGUUUACACUGGAUAUGGAAAUAGAGAGCAGCAAAAUCUGUCUGAUCUACUUUCCCCGACGUCUGAUGUAGCUAAUAAUAUAGAACAGAAUACUCAGGAGAAUGAAAAUGAAAGUCAAAUUUCAACAGAUGAAAGUGAGAACUCCUCCAGGUCUCGUGAAAAUAAACCAAAUAACAUCAAGUCAAGAGCUGCUCCAUGGAACUAUUUUCUCCCUCCACCACCCCCCAUGCCAAGAUCAGGACUGGGACCAGGAAAGCCAGGUCUAAAAUUUAAUGGCCCACCACCACCACCACCACCACCUCCACCUCCACCACCUCCCUUCCUAUCAUGCUGGCUGCCUCCGUUUCCUUCUGGACCACCAAUAAUUCCCCCACCUCCUCCCAUAUGUCCAGAUUCUCUUGACGAUGCUGAUGCUUUGGGAAGUAUGUUAAUCUCUUGGUACAUGAGUGGCUAUCACACUGGUUAUUAUAUGGGUUUCAAACAAAAUCAAAAAGAAGGAAGGUGCUCACAUUUUAAUUAAGGAGGUGAUACGUUACCUAUGAAGAGGAACUAGAAGACAAAGGCAUGUAAUUCAUAAAGUAUUCCUUAAGAAGUGCAGCUCUCUCCCAAGGAGAAGGGUGUUUUGAUAUGCCCUGGUCGAUGUGAAACGUUUUCAUCUUUUCUUCAUGAGCACUUGGUUGAAUGGCACAAUCUUCUACAUUCACCUUUGUCAUAUGUGACUUGUGCUUAAGUAACCAGCCAGGUAUUUGUAGGGAAUAACCAGUUUGAAUAACUGAACAAUGGAAAUGUAAUUAAAAGAAACUCAAAGUCACAUAUAGUGCAGAAAAGUCAAUCUGUCAACACAUUUGUAUAUUGUAACUUUCUUAGUAUGUUAAGCUUUUUACUGAUGCCUUUAAAAAUAAAUGAUAAAUAUUUUUUAAUCUUGA